UCUCAUUACUGAAAGAGUUCAGGCAAGGUUCCCUGGUUUUGAAAUACGGGUCAAAGAGCUUACGAGAAGUUGAGAAAGUUUGUGAGGGUGAAGCAUCCAAUCUAAGAAGCAUGUCAUGUCCAUAUGAAGCUUCCAUGCAUCCCCCAGAUAAGUCUUUAUUUUUCCCCCGAAAGGGGCGCUUCUAUUUAAAUGCAUCCUAUUGCUCUUUAUUUACUUUUCCCUUGAACCCCUUUCAGUCUAACUAUGAUUUCCAAAUUAUUACAAAGAAAAGGUAGUAGGACUGGUUUACAGGGCCUUGCCCAGCAAGAGCUAAAGAAAGGUACCCAGCCUUAGCGAGCUCAUUAAGCCAAUCCCGGAUGGCCAAGAUGGUUGAUGCUUUCAAAGCAAAGAUAUGAAAAAGGAAAGAAUGUCCAAAGACAAAGGUCCUAAGAGCAGAAUAAAGUGAAAAUUCAGAGCCUUACACGGGCGAGUGGUCAUGAAUUCCUGAAGGUUAAGGCCAUUGGCUCUAAAGAGAAGAUGAUCUUCAAAACCAGCAAGCAGCAGAGGCUCUCAACAGAAGUUGAUCUAGGAUCAAGCAAUCAAGGCCACAAAACCAACCACCAUUUCAAACUAACAAUUUUUCUUUGUUUAAAAUUGAAACAGGUGCGAUACAAGCAACCAUGCAAAAAACAGGUGCAGUUGAAAGGAAAAUACGCAAGUGCUGAAACAGCUUCGCAGUAAAUAAUCAAUGCAAAAGGGAAGUUUCCUCCACGUUCUUUCCUGCAUAUUAUCAAAAUAAAAGGGAAAAAGAAGAUAAAAAAAGAGAAAAACCCAAAAGAAGAUUGAUUAUAAUUCCCACUACACACCUUUAGCCGAGAUUAGGGCUUCAAUCCCUAAGUUGAGUGUUUUUCCCUUUAUCCAACAUUAGGGCCCCAAAUCCCUGAGUUGAGCAUUUUCACUUUAGCGGACAUUAGGGCUCCAAUCCCUGAGUUGAGCAUUUUUACUAGCCAAUAUUAAGGCUCCAAUCCCUGAGUUGAGCAUUUUUCCUUAGCCAACAUUAGGGCUCCAAUCCCUGAGUUGAGCAUUUUUCCUUAGCUAACAUUAGGGCUCAAAUCCCUAAGUUGAGUGUUUUUCCCUUUGACCGACAUUAGGACUCCAAUCCUUGAGAUAAGCAUUUUUUUCCUUAGCCGGCAUUAGGGCUCCAAUCCCUGAGUUGAGUGUUUUUUCCUUAGCCAACACUAGGGAUCCAAUCCCUAAAUUGAGCAUUUUUUCCUUAGCCGACAUUAGGGCUCCAAUCCCUGAGUUGAGCGUUUUCCCUUUAGUCAACAUUAGGACUCCAAUCCAUGAGUUGAGCAUUUUCCCUUUAGCCAACAUUAGGGCUCCAAUCCCUGAUUUGAGUGUUUUCUCUUUAGCCAAUAUUAGGGUUCCAAUCCCAGAGUUGAGCGUUUUUCCUUUUGCCAACAUUCGGGAUCGAAUCCCCGAAUUGAGCGUUUUUCCUUAGCCAACAUUAGGCCACAAUUCCUGAAUUGAGUGUUUUUCCUUAGUUAACAUUGGGGCUCCAAUCACUAAGUUGAGCGUUUUCCUUAGACAGCAUUAGGGCUCCAAUCCCUGAGUUGAGCAUUUUUCCCUUUUGCCGGCAUUAAUUCUCCAAUCCCUGAGUUGAGAUUUUUCCCUUUAGCCGACAUUAGGGCUCGAAUCCUUGAGUUGAGAAUUUUUCCUUAGCCAAUAUUAGAGCUCCAAUCCCUAAGUUGAGCAUUUCUUUUUCUUUUGGCCAACAUUAGAGCUCAAAUCCCUGAAUUGAGCAUUUUUCUUUAGCCAACAUAAGGGAUCUAAUCCCUUAGUUGAGCACUUUUCCCUUAGUUAGUAUUAGGGCUCCAAUCCUUGAGUUG
rnacentral:lncRNA from 1 species